rnacentral:rRNA from 2 species
GGUCCAGACUUUGAUCCUGGCUCAGGAUGAACGCUGGCGGCGCAUUUAAGACAUGCAAGUCGAACGAAAAUUUACGCUUAAAGAGUUGAUUAGUUUACUAAGAGAUGAUUUAUUGUAAAUUUUAGUGGCGGACUGGUGAGUAAUACAUAGGUAAUCUGCCUUUUAGAGGGGAAUAACUAGGAGAAAUCCUAGCUAAUACCGCGUAAGACCACACUUAGGCAUCUAAGAGAGGUCAAAGGAGUAAUCCGCUAAAAGAUGAGCCUGUGGCUGAUUAGUUAGUUGGUGGGGUAAGAGCCUACCAAGACGAUGAUCAGUAGCCGAGCUGAGAGGCUGGCCGGCCACAUUGGGACUGAGAUACGACCCAGACUCCUACGGGAGGCAGCAGUUGGGAAUAUUGGACAAUGGAGGAAACUCUGAUCCAGUGACGCCGCGUGAAGGAAGAAGGUCUUCGGAUUGUAAACUUAUUUUAUCAGGGAAGAAGAAAGUGACAGUACCUGAAGAAAAAGGACCGGCAAACUACGUGCCAGCAGCCGCGGUAAUACGUAGGGUCCAAGCGUUAUCCGGAUUUACUGGGUGUAAAGGGCGAGUAGACGGCGCUGUAAGUCAGCUGUGAAAACUUAGGGCUCAACCUUAAGCCUGCAGCUGAAACUGUAGUGCUAGAGUGCAGGAGAGGUAAGCGGAAUUCCUAGUGUAGCGGUGAAAUGCGUAGAUAUUAGGAGGAACACCAGUGGCGAAGGCGGCUUACUGGACUGUAACUGACGUUGAGGCGCGAAAGUGUGGGGAGCAAACAGGAUUAGAUACCCUGGUAGUCCACACCGUAAACGAUGGAUACUAGGUGUAGGCGAGAUAUCGUCUGUGCCGGCGCAAACGCAAUAAGUAUCCCACCUGGGGAGUACGGCCGCAAGGUUGCAACUCAAAGGAAUUGACGG